GAGACAGCAGCCGCCGCUGUAAUACGAAGGGUGCAAGCGUUACUCGGAAUUACUGGGCGUAAAGCGUGCGUAGGUGGUGGUUUAAGUCCGUUGUGAAAGCCCUGGGCUCAACCUGGGAAUUGCAGUGGAUACUGGAUCACUAGAGUGUGGUAGAGGAUAGUGGAAUUUCCGGUGUAGCAGUGAAAUGCGUAGAGAUCGGAAGGAACAUCUGUGGCGAAGGCGACUAUCUGGGCCAACACUGACACUGAGGCACGAAAGCGUGGGGAGCAAACAGGAUUAGAUACCCCCGUAGUCCCUGUCUCUUAUAA
rnacentral:rRNA from 1 species